rnacentral:rRNA from 1 species
GUCUACAGCCAUGCCACCCUGAACAAGCCCAAUCCCGUCUGAUCUCGGAAGUUAAGCAGGGUCGGGCCUGGUUAGUACUUGGAUGGGAGACCACCUAGAAAGACCAACUGCUGUAGGCA